AACGAACGCUGGCGGCAUGCCUAACACAUGCAAGUCGAACGAGACCUUCGGGUCUAGUGGCGCACGGGUGCGUAACGCGUGGGAACCUGCCCUUAGGUUCGGAAUAACUCCCCGAAAGGGGUGCUAAUACCGGAUAAUGUCUUCGGACCAAAGAUUUAUCGCCUUUGGAUGGGCCCGCGUUGGAUUAGCUAGUUGGUAGGGUAAAAGCCUACCAAGGCGACGAUCCAUAGCUGGUCUGAGAGGAUGAUCAGCCACACUGGGACUGAGACACGGCCCAGACUCCUACGCGAGGCAGCAGUGGGGAAUAUUGGACAAUGGGCGGAGGCCUGAUCCAGCAAUGGCGCGGGAGUGAUGAAGGCCUUAGGGUUGUAAAGCUCUUUUACCCGGGAUGAUAAUGACAGUACCGGGAGAAUAAGCUCCGGCUAACUCCGUG
rnacentral:rRNA from 1 species